rnacentral:tRNA from 1 species
GGGCAGUUAGCUCAGGGGGAGAGCGCUUCCUUGACACGGAAGAGGUCGGAGGUUCGAUUCCUCUACUGCCCACCA